rnacentral:rRNA from 1 species
GACGAACGCUGGCGGCGUGCUUAACACAUGCAAGUCGAACGGAAAGGCCCUGCUUUUGUGGGGUGCUCGAGUGGCGAACGGGUGAGUAACACGUGAGUAACCUGCCCUUGACUUUGGGAUAACUUCAGGAAACUGGGGCUAAUACCGGAUAGGAGCUCCUGCUGCAUGGUGGGGGUUGGAAAGUUUCGGCGGUUGGGGAUGGACUCGCGGCUUAUCAGCUUGUUGGUGGGGUAGUGGCUUACCAAGGCUUUGACGGGUAGGCGGCCUGAGAGGGUGGCCGGCCACAAUGGGCCUGAGGGACGGAGCAGACUCGUACAGGAGGCAGCAGUGGAGAAUAUUGCACAGUGGGCGGAAGCCUGAGGCAGCGACGCCGCGUGCGUGAUGACGGCCUUCGGGUUGUAAACCGCUGUCACCUGUUACGAAGCGUGAGUGACGGUAAUGGGUAAAGAAGCACCGGCUAACUACGUG